rnacentral:rRNA from 1 species
UACGUAGGGUGCGAGCGUUGCCCGGAUUUAUUGGGCGUAAAGGGCGCGUAGGCGGCCACGCACGUCCGUUGUGAAAUCGCCCGGCGUCAAACUGGGGCGGGGUCAGCGGAUACGGUGUGGCGUCGAGCAAGCUAGGGGGCAAUGGAAUUCCCGGUGUAGUGGUGGAAUGCGUAGAUAUCGGGAGGAACACCAGUGGCUGAAGGCGGUUGCCUGGAGCUUGCUGACGCGUGAGGCGCGAAA